CAUAACGCAUGAGCCCGGCCGCUGCCCGGGAUCCCAGGGUCCCCACUCCUCACCGGCUGCUGGGCGCCGCCAUGUUGCUCUCCCGCCCCCUGCGGUGGGAGGGACUUCCUGCUCGUCACUUCCGGCUGGGGAUGCGUGGGAGGAAAGGGCGGCUGGGCUGGAACUGCGCAGCCCCCGCUGCCUGGGAGGUUUGUGAGCCCGAAGUACCCUCCGGGAACGCGAAAAGCACUGUGUGGAUACGACCUUCCGAGGGAAAAGCGGCGCGGACGGCAGCCUCGCGCCUGCAGGUCCCAGAAGGUGGCCGGCAUCCUCUGGCGUGCUGCAGGGCGGUCCGGGUGACCCGGCGAUGGCGAGGCUUGGCCGCGCUCAUCUCACUGACAUUCAGUGUUCCGUUUGGGACCCUUCGCGGUGGCUCCAGAGGCGAGAGGACUCGUGGCCAGGCCUCCGCCUUCCCCUCUGAUGAGUUCCACUCACGACGUAGCUGUCCUCGCGGGCAAAGGGAAGCCGGAGGGGCUGGAGGUGGGGGCGGGGACCGAUUCGCGGAAUGCCCCAGACGGAGAAGUUGCUUGUGCGUUGGGACACUGGCGUGGCGUGGGGUCUUCUGGACUUGGGACCUUGUUUGAGGCAGUUACUGUUCUUAACAGGAAAGACCACGUCCUUCCCUGCUGGCAGUAAUGCAGAUGAGGUGGCUGCGAAUGGAACAGCAUCUUGUACCACAGGGAGGUACAGGAGUGCAAAAAGCGUGGUGAAGGCUGGACAACAGCUGCUUGUGGAACAAGCAGCCCUAGGAAGCAGGCCUGAGAAUGUAAUUCUUGGAACUCAAGCAGCCACUGUGCAACUAUGAAGUCAUAAGCGUGAAGAUGGACACACUAAGGAAAGGAGAGUCACUGAGCCAAGUUAAGAGUAUCUUUCUGCCAACUUGCUGCUGCAGCAUAUUGUGAUGAUUAAGCUGUUUGGUGCACUGUUCAUUGCAUGUUGAGUGAUCAAUUUUAGUGAAUUUUCCAAAGCUGAACAAUCAAGGUUUGCUAAAAACAAGUGAUGUAGAGAAGUAAUUGGAAUCGCCAGUUACUCAAAAAAGGAUAAAUAUUUCAAAAAAAUUUAAUAUUGCACCUAAUUAUUGUGGAUUUAUGCCCUAUUAGUAUUUUUUAAAACAGUACAAAAAUAAACACC